GACGAACGCUGGCGGCGUGCUUAACACAUGCAAGUCGAACGGAAAGGCCCUGCUUUUGUGGGGUGCUCGAGUGGCGAACGGGUGAGUAACACGUGAGUAACCUGCCCUUGACUUUGGGAUAACUUCAGGAAACUGGGGCUAAUACCGGAUAGGAGCUCCUGCUGCAUGGUGGGGGUUGGAAAGUUUCGGCGGUUGGGGAUGGACUCGCGGCUUAUCAGCUUGUUGGUGGGGUAGUGGCUUACCAAGGCUUUGACGGGUAGCCGGCCUGAGAGGGUGACCGUCCACAUUGGGACUGAGAUACGGCCCAGACUCCUACGGGAGGCAGCAGUGGGGAAUAUUGCACAAUGGGCGGAAGCCUGAUGCAGCAACGCCGCGUGCGGGAUGGCGGCCUUCGGGUUGUAAACCGCUUUCGCCUGUGACGAAGCGUGAGUGACGGUAAUGGGUAAAGAAGCACCGGCUAACUACGUG
rnacentral:rRNA from 1 species